UACGAGGGGGGCGAGCGUUGUUCGGAAUUAUUGGGCGUAAAGGGUGCGUAGGCGGUUCGGUAAGUUUCGUGUGAAAUCUUCGGGCUCAACUCGAAGCCUGCACGAGAUACUGCCGGGCUUGAGUGUGGGAGAGGCGAGUGGAAUUCCGAGUGUAGAGGUGAAAUUCGUAGAUAUUCGGAAGAACACCAGUGGCGAAGGCGACUCGCUGGACAGGUAUUGACGCUGAGGUGCGAAAGCGUGGGGAGCAAACAGG
rnacentral:rRNA from 1 species